rnacentral:rRNA from 1 species
UACGUAGGGGGCAAGCGUUGUCCGGAUUUAUUGGGCGUAAAGAGCGUGUAGGCGGCCAUACAGGUCAGCUGUGAAAACUCGAGGCUCAACCUCGAGACGUCGGUUGAAACCGUAUGGCUAGAGUCCGGAAGAGGAGACUGGAAUUCCUGGUGUAGCGGUGAAAUGCGCAGAUAUCAGGAGGAACACCGGUGGCGAAGGCGGGUCUCUGGGCCGAUACUGACGCUGAGGAGCGAAAGCGUGGGGAGCGAACAGG